rnacentral:lncRNA from 1 species
AUGUCUAAGGGACGAGUUUUAAAGUCUAAACCAAGAUCUGAAGACGGAAGAGGGACCGCAGACAUCCUGGAGGGGAUCACGGUGUCUGUGACCAACAUGAAACCUGACAGAGAGGUGGAGUUAUGGGUUAUCUUUGAAUGACGACGAGGACAGAUGCAUGAGAAGGCAAGUUGUGUAACACCCUGUAUCAUAUUGUUUUUUUCACACUCGAUUUCUCUGAUGAUUGGUGACCCAUAUUGGAAUACAUUACAUAAGUGCUGUUACAAUUAAUUGGCUCCUACUCUACUGCAGAAAUCUAUUUCUUUGUGGUAACAUUAAUAUCUGGUUUCAUCAAUCAAUAAGCUUUUAUCACAGAUGAA